CCAAAAUAACCCAACCUAACAAUUUAAUCCAACCGGCCCAUUUAUCCUUUAAGAUUUGGAUAGCCCAACAACAAUUUCAGCCCAACACCCCUAAAACCUACCCGGCCCAUAUGCUUCUCCUCCUUAACUUCCAGAAGCAGCUUCUUCAAAUCACCACCAACCAAAAUCUAAACUUAUCCGUACAAUCAAACAACAACAUUGACCAACUGAUCGAACCCCAUCGACGCCGACCCAAAAUUCGGUUCGAACCAACCCGUCACUCGACCCAAUAUCGGAAAAUCUCCAAAUCUAUCAACCCGCAUCAACCCGACUUUCUCCCUCUUCAUCGCGUGGCAAUCACGUGGUAAAAAAAUUUCUCGAAUCUUCUAGAAUAUGGUGAGUUGGCCCCUUCCAAACGUCCCACUCCACAAAUUUUGGGAUAAGGGUACAAAUUCGAGAGUUAUUUGGAGGUUUUUGAUUGGUUUGGGGGAGAUUAUUCCAUCUCCCCAUUUUCUAUUUGUGUUCUUCAAAAAUCCGUUGAGGAUAAUCCAAAAUAGAGUACGAAUUGAGGGCGAAAUGGAGUUGGAGGGAGGAUUUCGAAUUUUGAAAUGGGUUAUUUUCUAAAAUCCCAAAGAUGGCUCUCUAUAAAGCGCUCACUGAUGAGCUGGGAAAGGAGGGACGGUUGGAGAAAAAUUGGGGGAUUUUUUUUAGGCUUUUUUUGAAGAAGGGGGCUAGGUUUUGCUUUUUUUUUUUCUUUGAAGGUUAAAAUUUCUGGUUUUCUUUUGGAAUUUUUCAGGGGCAAAUUUUUUUUUUUUUCUCUCUGGUCGUUAUUCUUAGGGUCUUAGUUUGAAAGCUAGCAUCGACUCUUUUGCUUGAAGAUUGGGGUUCGAAAUUUUGUUGGGAGUUUUGAAAACAAAACUUAUUUUGUGAAAAUCUCCUCGUUCACUCCUUCUUCUUGAGGCUGGUUGAUUAACUAGAGGUUCCCGAGUCGAUAACUUCAACCCCGGAGGUAACGGUUCUUGCUGAUGGCUCGGGUCCCCAUUUGCUGCCAUGAAGGAGCUGUCGAUUGGAUCAGAGUUCUCGAAUGACUGGUUUCAGUGGUGACGACUCCAACAAAAGCCCGACGUCCCAAUUUGCUGCACCUAAAAGGUGGAUCGAGACUCGAGCUAAAAGCUCGAAAACAUAGAAAUAGAAAGGUGAAAGGAGAAAUGGGUUGAAAACCCAACUAGAUUAGGACAGGGUUAAUGGUUUGGGCUUCAAAGCCUAAAACACUACUUCUCCCCUCUCCCUUUUUCCUACUUGCUUACUUGUUUCACGUGUUUUGCGAACCUAGUUAAAAUCCUUAGCUAAGUCGCUAAAAAACUAAGUUUUGCAAAAACACCAAAAUAUUUUCAAAAUUGCCUUUCUUUCCAAAAAUCAAUCACUUUUCAACAAAAAUUAAUCUUUUCUUAGAAGUUAAUCAAAAGAUGUUUUCAAACAGUCCGGAUAACUGCAAAUUAGUGGACGUUUUAGGUGCCUAAUACCUUCUUAAAAUGUUAAUAGGAACUGCUUACUCAGAAUCUUUAACUUAAACGAUUUUUCUGUUUUUUUGAAUCGUUUAAAAUAUAAAAAGGUUUCUUAAUUUUUUUUCAAAAUUAAGUGGCGACUUUCUUUCAAAAGUCAAAAUUUCUCUGCAAAAACAUUGCCUAUGAGUUAAAUUUGCCCUCAAGCCUAGUUUCUGUUCAUCUCGUAUUUUAUGUGUCCAUGUUGAAGAAGUGCAUUGGAGAUCAUUCCCUAGUAUUGCCCCUAGAGGAGGUAAGUGUGGAAGACUCUUUGACGUAUGAAAAACCCAUUGUCAUUUUGGAUCGCCAAGUUUGAAAGUUGAGUAGCAAGGAAAUAGCUUCAGUUAAGGUGUUGUGGAGGAAUCAAAAAGCAUCGGAAGCUACUUAAGAGUCGAAAGAUGAUAUGCGUGAGAGGUACCCGACUCUUUUCGAAGCCAUAGAUGAUGAUUUAGAAGGUACAAAACCUAUAUCACUCUUUUUUUCCCAUCCAUUUAGGUCUUGAAAUUGUGCUUGUUGUAUCCCGAAUCAUCAUUCAGGGAUGAAUGAUCCCAAUGGGAUAAUGUAACACCUCGCACUUUCGGACUAGAAUUUAGACCAUCGUUCCUACGUGUAUUAAUUCGAACAAAAUUAUUCCUUGUUAAUGUAUGUGUGGUGAUCACUCCUAUAGUAUUGAAAAACCUUUGAA